UGUCACUUUGGGAUCACUAAAGCCUGGAUUUAUUUAUACGUAGUACUUAAUUUGAACUGUUCGAUUGUUGUGCAUAUAUAACACUCUGUUUCGUUUUAAGCAUGGAACCCGUGGCUGUUCUGUCUGCUUGUUAGUACUAUCUAUUUGGUCUCAUGAAACCCAUACAACAAUAUACCAUAUGUUGUAGUAUUUUAUGAUAAUGUUGUUAAUACUUGAAAGCAUUGACGGGACUCCUUGACCAUUAGUUGGAUAUUGUCUAUUUGGUCUUUUUAUUAUACUGUCAAAAAGAUUAUACUCAUGAACUGCAUGGUGAAACUUUGUUUGUUGUUGAUCUGGUAGUUCAUUCCAAGGCAUGAUAGCUUGGUCAACACAUUGCUCUGUUUCGAUUUGUGCAAUAAGGAUUAAAAAACAUUUUCAUUAUGUACCUUAACUCGCUAACGCCCCGAAGGGAUAAUGUUACGAGUUCGUUCAAAGACAUAACAUUGUAUUAUAGUAGUACUGACAUGGGACUUCACAUCCCCAUCUUUUCGCCUACUUGGCCAUUAGUAGAUAUUCCAGGUCUUCCUUUGUUUUAUUGUAGAUACAAGAGUUACUAUUUCAUUAUGCUGAUACGUGAUGUAACUUUUUUUUAUCUUCACAG
rnacentral:lncRNA from 1 species